rnacentral:rRNA from 1 species
GACGAACGCUGGCGGCGUGCUUAACACAUGCAAGUCGAACGAUAAUGCUGGAGCUUGCUCCAGUUGAUUAGUGGCGAACGGGUGAGUAACACGUGAGCAAUCUGCCCUUGACUCUGGGAUAACUGCGGGAAACUGUAGCUAAUACCGGAUACUUUCACCGGGGGGCAUCCUCUGGUGAUGAAAGAAUUUCGGUCAAGGAUGAGCGCGCGGCCUAUCAGCUUGUUGGUGAGGUAACGGCUCACCAAGGCGACGACGGGUAACCGGCCUGAGACGGUGACCGGUCACACUGGGACUGAGACACGGCCCAGACUCCUACGGGAGGCAGCAGUGGGGAAUAUUGCACAAUGGGCGCAAGCCUGAUGCAGCAACGCCGCGUGAGGGAUGAAGGCCUUCGGGUUGUAAACCUCUUUUAGCAGGGAAGAAGCGAAAGUGACGGUACCUGCAGAAAAAGCACCGGCUAACUACGUGCCAGCCGCCGCGGUAA